GGGGAAUAUUGCGCAAUGGGGGGAACCCUGACGCAGCAACGCCGCGUGAAGGAAGAAGGUCUUCGGAUUGUAAACUUCUUUGAUGAGGGACGAAUAAAGUGACGGUACCUCAAAAACAAGCCACGGCUAACUACGUGCCAGCAGCCGCGGUAAUACGUAGGUGGCGAGCGUUGUCCGGAAUUACUGGGUGUAAAGGGCGUGUAGGCGGGGAUGCAAGUCAGAUGUGGAAUACCGAGGCUUAACCUCGGGGCUGCAUCUGAAACUGUGUUUCUUGAGUGUCGGAGAGGAAAGCGGAAUUCCCAGUGUAGCGGUGAAAUGCGUAGAGAUUGGGAGGAACACCAGUGGCGAAGGCGGCUUUCUGGACGACAACUGACGCUGAGGCGCGAAAGCGUGGGGAGCAAAC
rnacentral:rRNA from 1 species